GCCCUGGGGAGGGUGGUGGAAGCUUGCUGGGACCAGGGCCCCACCUGCUCUGCUGCCACGCUGAGGUCCUCAUCAGAGACCUGUUUUGAAUCAUAACACCAGUGGAGAAGAGGCAUUAUUUAUGAGCUCACUUCUUAGGCUUAGAAGACCGAAGAACAAUAUUUGUGCUGCUAGUAGAUGAAAUUGGUGCCACUGACAGAGUUCAAGAGAACAGAUGAAGUUACAAAUCUGUCCAUGGAUAUAAAGAAUACACUGGGGUCAGGCGGUCAAAUCCUUCCUGGACAUAAGACCCCUUCUCUCUCCAGCAGGAUUAUUUGGCCAUUCAUAAACAAUGCU
rnacentral:lncRNA from 1 species